CUGUUAAAUAAGAUUUGCGGUUCCGAUUAGUUUUGGGAUUAAUAGGGAAUCCGGUGAAAUACCGGAACUGUCCACGCAACUGUAAAAAGUGUAAUCCAAACCAAAAAGCCACUGUCAGCUGAUGGGAAGGCGGGGAGGUUUAGCUUUAGUCAGGAGACCUGCCGUAAAUCAAUCAUUCAU
rnacentral:ncRNA from 2 species